AUGACUGCCCAAGGAGAGUCCCAAGUCCAGUUCAAACUUGUAUUGGUUGGUGAUGGUGGUACUGGAAAAACUAGAUUUAUGAAAUGUCAGUUGGUGAAUUUGAGACGUACAUAGCUACCUUGGGUAUUGAGGUUCAUUGCCUUGUGUUGCACACCAACAGAGGACCCAUUCAUUGUAUGGGAUACAGCUGGCCAGAAGAAAUUUGGUGGAGUGAGAGAUGGCUAUUAUAUCCAAGCCCAGCAUGCCAUUAUAAUGUUUGAUGUGAUAUCGAGAGUUACUUACAAGAAUGUGCCCUAACUGGCACAGAGAUCUGGUACGUUUAUGUGAAAACAUCCCCAUUGUGUUGAGGGCAACUGAGUGGGUAUAAAGGACAGGAAAGUGAAGGCAAAAUCCGUUCUCUUCCACCAAAAGAAGAAUCUUCAGUACUAUGACAUUUCUGCCAAAAGUUACUGCAACUUUGAAAAGCUCUUCCUCUGGCUUGCUAGGAAGCUUAUUGGAGACCCUAACUUGGAGUUUGUUGCCAUACCUGCCCUUGCCCCAUCAGAGGCUGUCAUGGACUCAGCAUCAACAGUGCAAUAUGAGCACGAUUUAAAUAGAAGUUGUUCAGAGAUCAUCAUCUCCCUGAUGAGGGUGAUAACCUGUGAGAAUGAAGCUGGAGCCUAGCAUCAGAAGUCUAGUUUUAUUUGUCCUGUGAUAUCAGCAGUGCAACAUUU
rnacentral:lncRNA from 1 species